rnacentral:rRNA from 1 species
GACGUAGGGCGCGAGCGUUGUCCGGAUUUAUUGGGCGUAAAGGGCUCGUAGGCGGUCUGUCACGUCGAAAGUGAAAACUCAGGGCUUAACCCUGAGCCUGCUUCCGAUACGGGCAGACUAGAGGUAUGCAGGGGAGAAUGGAAUUCCUGGUGUAGCGGUGAAAUGCGCAGAUAUCAGGAGGAACACCAGUGGCGAAGGCGGUUCUCUGGGCAUUACCUGACGCUGAGGAGCGAAAGUGUGGGGAGCGAACAGG